UUUGGCACUAGCACAUUUUUGCUGGGCAGGUGUGUAGGCCAAAAUUGUUAGUGCCAAAUA
rnacentral:pre_miRNA from 2 species